UCCGACGUCGUCCAAGGGCAGGACGGAGGACUUUGAAUCCUCUAAUCGUGGUUCGAAUCCACGCGUCGGAACCA
rnacentral:tRNA from 1 species